CUUUUUUAGACUCUAUUAUUCUUGUAAGAAUAUUAUUAUAAACAUGUGGUCAUGCAAAUGUUUGAUGGGUGUAUCAUAAUUCACAGCUUAAGAAAAGGAGGUGGGCAGAAAUUAAUUGAUUUGUUCAAAUGGCAUUAGCAAACAAAAUUUCCAAUUUCUGAUUUCCAUAUGUUUCCAUAAACUUGACAAUUUCUAGAGUUUGCCAAAUAAAUCCAUGAAAUACCAAUAGGUACUAUUUGUUAAGUGGAUACAAUAUACUAAGGUUUGUGUCCCCUCCAAAUUAAUAUGUUAAAACCUCAUCAUGAAUGUGUUGGAACUAAUAGGUGGAGCAUUUGGGAGGCAAUUAGGUCAUUAAGGAGGAGUGCUGGUGAAUGGAAUUAGUGCCCUUAUAAAAGAGAUUCCAGAGACCUAACUAGUUCCUUUCACCAUGUGAGGA
rnacentral:lncRNA from 10 species